UACGUAGGUGGCGAGCGUUGUCCGGAAUUACUGGGUGUAAAGCGCGUGUAGGCGGGAGGCCAAGUCUGUGGUGAAAUCGCUCGGCUUAACUGGGCGGGGUCCAUGGAAACUGGUCACCUGGAGGUCGGUAGAGGCAAGUGGAAUUCCCGGUGUAGUGGUGAAAUGCGUAGAGAUCGGGAGGAACACCAGUGGCGAAGGCGGCUUGCUGGGCCGGACC
rnacentral:rRNA from 1 species